rnacentral:tRNA from 1 species
GGCUGGCAAGAUGGCUCAGUGGUUAAGAGCGCUGACUAUUCUUCCAAAGGUCCUGAGUUCAAAUCCCAGCAACCA